UUCGUGCAGUUUGUUUCUGUUUUCUGGUAUCUCGGCGUCUUGUGGGGAAAAAAAAAAACAAUGAAGCGUGAGUGUCUGGUGAUGUCGUUCCUAGCGAGAACUUAAAUACAGACGCGCUGAGUAAACCUCGAGUCCUGAGGCAUGUCACUUUGCUCACGUGCAACAUCUCUAAAACAGCUGGGUGAAAAUUUUGGGGUGCUUUAUGUUUUGAUGAUAUUAUUUAAUUUCUGACAAAAUUCUUACUUUAAGUAGCUAUGUGGUUGUGUAACGGCAUAAAUUAAACAAUCAAUUUUAUUUACAA
rnacentral:lncRNA from 1 species